rnacentral:rRNA from 1 species
UACAGAGGGGGCAAGCGUUGUUCGGAAUUACUGGGCGUAAAGGGCGCGUAGGCGGCCUUCUAAGUCGAACGUGAAAUCCCCGGGCUCAACCCGGGAACUGCGUCCGAUACUGGAAGGCUUGAAUCCGGGAGAGGGAUGCGGAAUUCCAGGUGUAGCGGUGAAAUGCGUAGAUAUCUGGAGGAACACCGGUGGCGAAGGCGGCGAUC